ACUAGGAUUAGAUACCCUAUUAUUCAAGGGAGGGUCAACUUAGGAGGAGUAGGGGGCACCUGAAAUUCACGGUGGAGUGGCGGAUUGGUUCCAGUCUAGAGGUGCGUGUUGGUAAUAGACAAGGCACAAAAACCUCACCUAGGGGUUGGUAGAUCACUUCACACACCGCCAUAGGGAAAGAGGCGAAAUUCUUCCAUACACCAGAGGAAAAGUGGGUGAAAUUAGGUCAAGGCGUGGGAGAUAACUAGGGGAACAUGCGUACCAGACAGCAGUGGGUCGGAAACUGGGCACCUGUGGUAAGAAUUUAGAAGUAAGGGGCACAAGUUGCUGAAACCCUACAAAAAGGGGCCUGAAUACCUGUAAAACCAGUCGUACACAUCGCCCGUCC
rnacentral:rRNA from 1 species